CCUACGGGAGGCAGCAGUGAGGAAUAUUGGUCAAUGGACGGAAGUCUGAACCAGCCAUGCCGCGUGCAGGAUGACGGCCCUAUGAGUUGUAAACUGCUUUUGUAUUAGGGUAAAGUCCCCUAUGUGUAGUGCUUUGAAAGUACAAUACGAAUAAGGAUCGGCUAACUCCGUGCCAGCAGCCGCGGUAAUACGGAGGAUCCAAGCGUUAUCCGGAUUGAUUGGGUUUAAAGGGUGGGUAGGCGGUUUGAUAAGUUAGAGGUGAAAUACCGGUGCUCAACACCGGAACUGCCUCUAAUACUGUUGAGCUAGAGAGUAGUAGCGGUAGGCGGAAUGUAUGGUGUAGCGGUGAAAUGCGUAGAGAUCAUACAGAACACCGAUUGCGAAGGCAGCUUACUGGGCUAUUUCUGACGUUGAGGCACGAAAGCGUGGGUAGCAAACAGGAUUAGAUACCCUAGUAGUC
rnacentral:rRNA from 1 species